GGACGAAAGUCUGACGGAGCAACGCCGCGUGAGUGAAGAAGGUUUUCGGAUCGUAAAACUCUGUUUUCAGGGACGAAUGUGCAAUAUGUGAAUAAUGUGUUGUAAUGACGGUACCUGACAAGAAAGCUACGGCUAACUACGUGCCAGCAGCCGCGGUAAUACGUAGGUGGCAAGCGUUGUCCGGAAUUAUUGGGCGUAAAGCGCGCGCAGGUGGGAUAAUAAGUCUGAUGUUAAAGUUCGGGGCUCAACCCCGUGAAGCAUUGGAAACUAUUAUUCUUGAGUGCAGGAGAGGAAAGUGGAAUUCCUAGUGUAGCGGUGAAAUGCGUAGAUAUUAGGAGGAACACCAGUGGCGAAGGCGACUUUCUGGACUGUGUCUGACACUGAGGCGCGAAAGCCAGGGUAGUGAACGGGAUUAGAUACCCCGGUAAUCCUGGCCGUAAACGAUGGGUACUAGGUGUUGGGGGUAUCGACCCCUCCAGUGCCGGAGUUAACGCAAUAAGUACCCCGCCUGGGGAGUA
rnacentral:rRNA from 1 species